AGCGAACGCUGGCGGCAGGCCUAACACAUGCAAGUCGAACGAACACUUCGGAGUUAGUGGCGGACGGGUGAGUAACACGUGGGAACGUGCCCUUUGGUUCGGAAUAACUCAGGGAAACUUGUGCUAAUACCGAAUGUGCCCUUCGGGGGAAAGAUUUAUCGCCAUUAGAGGGGCCCGCGUCUGAUUCGCUAGUUGGUGAGGUAACGGCUCACCAAGGCGACGAUCAGUAGCUGGUCUGAGAGGAUGACCAGCCACACUGGGACUGAGACACGGCCCAGACUCCUACGGAAGGCAGGAGUGGGGAAUCUAGCGGAAUGGGCGAAGGCCUGACGCAGCCAUGCCGCGUAAAUGAUGAAGGUCUUAGGAUAGUAAAAUUCUUUCACCGGAGACGAUAAUGACGGUACCCGGUGAAGAAGCCCCGGCUAACUACGUG
rnacentral:rRNA from 1 species